GGCCCUAUGGCGCAAUGGCAGCGCGUCAGAUUCCAGUUCUUGCAGCAGGAAGCACCUGAAGGUUAUCCGUUCAAAUCGGGUUAGGGUCA
rnacentral:tRNA from 1 species